rnacentral:rRNA from 1 species
CACGCAGGCGGUCUAUUAAGUCAGAUGUGAAAUCCCCGGGCUCAACCUGGGAACUGCAUUUGAAACUGGCAGGCUUGAGUCUUGUAGAGGGGGUAGAAUUCCAGGUGUAGCGGUGAAAUGCGUAGAGAUCUGGAGGAAUACCGGUGGCGAAGGCGGCCCCCUGGACAAAGACUGACGCUCAGGUGCGAAAGCGUGGGGAAGCAAACA